rnacentral:rRNA from 1 species
GUGUCAGCCGCCGCGGUAAUACGAAGGGGGCUAGCGUUGCUCGGAAUCACUGGGCGUAAAGGGCGCGUAGGCGGAUCUUUAAGUCGGGGGUGAAAGCCUGAGGCUCAACCUCAGAAUUGCCUUCGAUACUGGAGAUCUUGAGACCGGAAGAGGUGAGUGGAACUGCGAGUGUAGAGGUGAAAUUCGUAGAUAUUCGCAAGAACACCAGUGGCGAAGGCGGCUCACUGGUCCGGUUCUGACGCUGAGGCGCGAAAGCGUGGGGAGCAAACAGGAUUAGAAACCCUUGUAGUCC